GCUACCUACCAUGUGGGAGGAGAGAAUCUAAAAUGUAAACAGGUUAAUACUACACCAUGACAUCUGGUAGUGAUGAAGCUGAAAGAAAGAGAUGGUUGGAACGAUGCUGAUGAAAGGUUGCUUCAACUCAAGCAGAGGAGAGAAAGUCGUUCAACUUGAUCCCUCAACUUCUGAAGUCUGUGAGGGUCUUUGCUUGGCAUCAGAAAACUUUGGACCAGUUGUGUCAGUUCAUCAAGAGAAAGACCCCAUCCUCUGAAUUUAUCAGUGCGCAGUAAACAAGAGUUAAUCAAAGUACACCACCAAGAAUAAGUAAUUCCAAGAAGUGCCAUCAACGAACUCACUUGAACCCA